UGGGAAGUAUUGGGCAAUGGGCGAAAGCCUGACCCAGCAACGCCGCGUGAAGGAAGAAGGUCUUUGGAUUGUAAACUUUUGUCCUAUGGGAAGAAGGAAGUGACGGUACCAUGGGAGGAAGCCCCGGCUAACUACGUGCCAGCAGCCGCGGUAAUACGUAGGGGCGAGCGUUGUCCGGAAUUACUGGGCGUAAAGGGCGCGCAGGCGGCCGAUCAAGUUAGAUGUGAAAUACCUGGGCUUAACCUGGGAACUGCAUUUAAAACUGGUUGGCUAGGAGUGCAGGAGAGGGAAGCGGAAUUCCUAGUGUAGCGGUGAAAUGCGUAGAUAUUAGGAGGAACACCAGUGGCGAAGGCGGCUUUCUGGACUGUAACUGACGCUGAGGCGCGAAAGCGUGGGAGCGACAGAUAGAUACC
rnacentral:rRNA from 1 species